rnacentral:rRNA from 1 species
GUAAGGAAUAUUGGGCAAUGGACGCAAGUCUGACCCAGCCAUGCCGCGUGCAGGAUGACUGCCCUAUGGGUUGUAAACUGCUUUUAUACGGGAAAAAAAUAUCCGACGUGUCGGAAGCUGAUGGUACCGUAUGAAUAAGCAUCGGCUAACUCCGUGCCAGCAGCCGCGGUAAUACGGAGGAUGCAAGCGUUAUCCGGAUUUAUUGGGUUUAAAGGGUGCGCAGGCGGAAUGAUAAGUCAGUGGUGAAAGCUUCCGGCUCAACCGGAAAAUUGCCAUUGAUACUAUCGUUCUUGAGUACAGUUGAGGUAGGCGGAAUGUGUCAUGUAGCGGUGAAAUGCUUAGAUAUGACACAGAACACCGAUAGCGAAGGCAGCUUACCAAAUUGAAACUGACGCUCAUGCACGAAAGCGUGGGGAUCAAACAGGAUUAGAAACCCUAGUAGUCC